rnacentral:hammerhead_ribozyme from 1 species
GCCCAGCUGACGAGUCCCAAAUGGGACGAAACGUGCGUCCUGAAU